rnacentral:lncRNA from 1 species
CUCAUGAUACAUUAUUUGAGGCGUUUCAACAAAAUUCCACAUGUUUGCGACAUAAUUUUCCAUAGUUUUCUCAUCCGGAAACUCCCCCAGCACAAAACCUAUCAAAGCAUUACUCCAAUAAGCCUCCAGCUCCUUUGUAUCAUCAUCAUCAAUUUGCACUGGAAACUUUCCAUCUCUCAUAGCAGGAGGGAUGUAGCUUAGGGCAUUUCCUUUUUUAGGGCUUCUAUUCUUCUGCAUGAGGGCCUUUUUCUUUUCAACUUCCCCUGGGUCUGCUACAUCUUGUUGGAACUGAUUUGGUUUUGCAUGUGCUGAAAAUUGCAUUCGCCGGUGGACUUG